rnacentral:tRNA from 1 species
GGCCGUGUAGCUCAACUGGCAGAGCAGCUGACUCUUAAUCAGCGGGUUGUAGGUUCGAGUCCUACCACGGUCA